rfam:Brassica rapa chromosome A1, whole genome shotgun sequence.
UGGUGCGAUCAUACCAGCACUAAUGCACUGGAUCCCAUCACAUCUCUGCAGCUAAACGUGAUUGGACGAGAGUAGAACUAGGAUGGGUAACCUCCCGAGAAAUCCUCGUGUUGCACCCC